rnacentral:rRNA from 1 species
CAAGGAAUUUUCCGCAAUGGGCGCAAGCCUGACGGAGCAACGCCGCGUGGAGGAUGACGGCUCUCGGGUUGUAAACUCCUUUUGUGGGGGAUGACAUCGACAGUACCCCACCAACAAGCCCCGGCUAACUACGUGCCAGCAGCCGCGGUAAUACGUAGGGGGCCAGCGUUGUCCGGACUUACUGGGCGUAAAGCGCGCGCAGGUGGACGAGUAUGUGCCGUGUGAAAGCGCCGUCCUUACGAUGGCGAGGUCGUGGUAGACAGCUUGUCUUGAGGCUCGAAGAGGUCGAUGGAAUUCCGGGUGGAGCGGUGAAAUGCGUAGAUAUCCGGAGGAACACCAGGGGCGAAGGCGGUCGACUGGUCGAGUUCUGACACUGAGGCGCGACGGCGUGGGGAGCAAACCGG